GAUGAACGCUAGCUACAGGCUUAACACAUGCAAGUCGAGGGACCGGCGCACGGGCGUGUAACACGUAUCCAACCUGCCCUUUACUCGGGGACAGCCUUUCGAAAGAAAGAAUAAUACACGAUGUAAAGGACGGGGAUGCGUUCCAUUAGGGUGUUGGUGAAGUAACGACCUACCAAGCCUUCGAUGGAUAGGGUUUCUGAGUGGAAUGUCCCCCACAUAGGAGCUGAGACACAGUCCAAACUCCGACGGGAGACUGCAGUGAGGAACAUUGUUGAAUGAGCGUUGACGUGAACCAGCCACGUGUCGUGAAAAGUGAAGAGUUAUGGGUCGUAUACUUCUUUUGAGUAAGAAUAUGUAUUAUAUGAAUAAGGAUCGGCUAACUCCGUGCCAGCAGCCGCGGUAAUUC
rnacentral:rRNA from 1 species